CUCUCUUCUUCUCUCGACCCAUAUCUCUCUCUAUCAAUCUUCUUAUAUUACAUGAGCUCUCUCUCUCUCUCCCUUUUUCUUUCUCUUUCUCUUCUCCUUCCUUUCUUGUUCUUGAGAGAUUUGUUCCUAACUUGCUUUAUCUUUCUUGGCAUCCAAGAGCUUCUCUUUGCUCCAUAAACAGUAGAGAGAGAAAGCUUCAAAUCAAGAAGAGAGGUCAGAGAGAAUAAUCGUGCUAAAUCAGGUGAAGUUAGGCUUAAAAAAAAACCCACUACUUGCCAUUUUUGUAUAAUUAGGUCAAUCUCAUCCACCACCAUACUCAAUUCUCCUCCUUUUUUCCUCAAUUCUCAAUCUUUUAGGGUUUUAUCUCUUUCUCUCUAUCUCCUUCUUUAAUUUCUUGUCUACCAAAAAAGAUUGAACUUAUUUCGAAUCGUAUGGUGAGGAAGUGGAAAUCUUGAAAAGAUCUGAGAGAUUUAUUUAUUCCGCAAAAAAAAACAAGAAGAUCGAUGAAUAUUCAAGAAGAAGAGAAACCUAUUAAUGAAGAAGCUUCU
rnacentral:lncRNA from 1 species